AUUGAACGCUGGCGGCAGGCCUAACACAUGCAAGUCGAGCGAGCGGCGGACGGGUGAGUAAUGUAUGGGGAUCUGCCCGAUAGAGGGGGAUAACUACUGGAAACGGUGGCUAAUACCGCAUACUAUAGGAUGAACCCAUAUGGGAUUAGCUAGUUGGUGGGGUAAAGGCUCACCUAGGCGACGAUCUCUAGCUGGUCUGAGAGGAUGAUCAGCCACACUGGGACUGAGACACGGCCCAGACUCCUACGGGAGGCAGCAGUGGGUAAUAUUGCACAAUGGGCGCAAGCCUGAGGCAGCCAUGCCGCGUGAAUGAAGAAUGCCUUAGGUGUGUAAAGUACUUUCAGCGGGGAGGCGUUACACGCAGAAGAAGCACCGGCUAACUCCGGGCCAGCAGCCGCGGUAAUAC
rnacentral:rRNA from 1 species